rnacentral:ncRNA from 2 species
AAAAUAAAAAUAGGGAGCUUGUUGACAGGCUGAGAGGAAAUUGUUAAUUUCGACCGUUACCUGAUUUGGAUAAUGCCAACGUAGGGAUAUAAGGACUUUUGCUG